rnacentral:rRNA from 1 species
AUUACAGAGUUUUCUAAACUCCCAACCCUAUGUGAACUUACCUUUGUUGCUUCGGCGGCGGAGGCUACCCUGCGGGAGAAUACCACUUAGUGGUUACCCUGUAGUUUCAGGUACAUCAGCUACCCGGUAGUCAUCCCCGCCGGCGGCCAACUAAACUCUGUUUUCUUUGGAAUUCUGAAUAACAAACUUAAUAAGUUAAAACUUUCAACAACGGAUCUCUUGGUUCUGGCAUCGAUGAAGAACGCAGCGAAAUGCGAUAAGUAAUGUGAAUUGCAGAAUUCAGUGAAUCAUCGAAUCUUUGAACGCACAUUGCGCCCAUUAGCAUUCUAGUGGGCAUGCCUGUUCGAGCGUCAUUUCACCACUUAAGCCUUGUUGCUUAGCGUUGGGAGCCUACGGCACGGCCCGUAGCUCCUUAAAGUGAUUGGCGGAGUUGGUUCUCACUCUAAGCGUAGUAAUUAUAUCUCGCUUCUGUAGUGGUCCCGGCCCCUGCCGUAAAACCCCUUAUACAAAGGUUGACCUCGGAUCAGGUAGGAAUACCCGCUGAACUUAAGCAUAUCAAUAAGCGGAGGAAAAGAAACCAACAGGGAUUGCCCUAGUAACGGCGAGUGAAGCGGCAACAGCUC